rnacentral:sRNA from 1 species
UGGGCCUCAGCACCCCCAAACAGGCGAACCUGUGUGUUCUUUGAGGCCCCUGGAGUGCGGGGAAGCACAAAGACACUGGGAGAGCUGCUAGAUACAGGCACAGAGCUCCCCAGAGCUAUCCGCUGCCUCUACAGCCGCUGCUGCUUUGGGAUCUGGAACCUGACCCAAGACCGGGCACAGGUGGAAAUGCAAGGAUGCCGAGACAGUGAUGAGCCAGGCUGUGAGUCCCUCCACUGUGACCCAAGUCCCCGAGCCCACCCCAGCCCUGGCUCCACUCUCUUCACCUGCUCCUGUGGCACUGACUUCUGCAAUGCCAAUUACAGCCAUCUGCCUCCUCCAGGGAGCCCUGGGACUCCUGGCUCCCAGGGUCCCCAGGCUGCCCCAGGUAGCCACCCAAGGGUACUGAAGCCUGAUGGGGGCUGGGGCCCAGGUUAGGAUGAGAGGUGGAACCAGGGCCAGUUCUCACCCUACUCCCGCCCCACACUUUCCUCCUCCUGGCCUUGGGAAGUUGGUUGCCCUGGUGACUGGGAGAUAAGGGGUCUUGUGACCAGGGUGGGGGUGGGUUGAGACGCAAGCUCUCAGGAGGGGAAGAGCAGAGAGCAGGUUUG